rnacentral:rRNA from 1 species
AUGGCGGCGUUGGCCUCCCGGUUCUCGGCCUCCGUCCGGUGGCUGGACCACGCGGCGUAGAAGACGUGCGUGAUGUCGGUGAGGGGCGCGAGGGCCUCGGCGACGGCAGCGGGGUCGGCCAGGUCGACUCGCAGGAUGUCGAGGAGCGAUGUGCCGACGAUGCCCGUGGAUCCGACGACGAGGGCGACGCUCUAG